rnacentral:rRNA from 1 species
UACAGAGGUCUCAAGCGUUGUUCGGAUUCAUUGGGCGUAAAGAGCUCGUAGGCGGUUUGUCGCGUCGGCCGUGAAAACUUGGGGCUUAACCCCAAGCCUGCGGUCGAUACGGGCAGACUUGAGUUCGGCAGGGGAGACUGGAAUUCCUGGUGUAGCGGUGAAAUGCGCAGAUAUCAGGAGGAACACCGGUGGCGAAGGCGGGUCUCUGGGCCGAUACUGACGCUGAGGAGCGAAAGCGUGGGGAGCGAACAGG